rnacentral:rRNA from 1 species
UACGAAGGGGGCUAGCGUUGUUCGGAAUUACUGGGCGUAAAGCGCACGUAGGCGGACAUUUAAGUCAGGGGUGAAAUCCCAGAGCUCAACUCUGGAACUGCCUUUGAUACUGCGGGUCUCGAGUCCGGGAGAGGUGAGUGGAAUUCCUAGUGUAGAGGUGAAAUUCGUAGAUAUUAGGAAGAACACCAGUGGCGAAGGCGGCUCACUGGCCCGGCACUGACGCUGAGGCGCGAAAGCGUGGGGAGCGAACAGG